UCCGUCACCUGACACGGCCCUACCAGGAACAGCCGCGCUCCCGCGG
ensembl:misc_RNA